AUGAACGCUGGCGGCGUGCCUAAUACAUGCAAGUCGAGCGAACAGAUGAGGAGCUUGCUCCUCUGACGUUAGCGGCGGACGGGUGAGUAACACGUGGAUAACCUACCUAUAAGACUGGGAUAACUUCGGGAAACCGGAGCUAAUACCGGAUAAUAUAUUGAACCGCAUGGUUCAAUAGUGAAAGACGGUUUUGCUGUCACUUAUAGAUGGAUCCGCGCCGCAUUAGCUAGUUGGUAAGGUAACGGCUUACCAAGGCAACGAUGCGUAGCCGACCUGGGAGGGUGAUCGGCCACACUGGAACUGAGACACGGUCCAGACUCCUACGGGAGGCAGCAGUAGGGAAUCUUCCGCAAUGGGCGAAAGCCUGACGGAGCAACGCCGCGUGAGUGAUGAAGGUCUUCGGAUCGUAAAACUCUGUUAUUAGGGAAGAACAAAUGUGUAAGUAACUAUGCACGUCUUGACGGUACCUAAUCAGAAAGCCACGGCUAACUACGUG
rnacentral:rRNA from 1 species